UACGUAGGGGGCAAGCGUUGUCCGGAUUUAUUGGGCGUAAAGAGCGUGUAGGCGGCCAGGUAGGUCAGCUGUGAAAACUCGAGGCUCAACCUCGAGACGCCGGUUGAAACCAUCUGGCUAGAGUCCGGAAGAGGAGAGUGGAAUUCCUGGUGUAGCGGUGAAAUGCGCAGAUAUCAGGAAGAACACCCGUGGCUAAGGCGGCUCUCUGGAACGCAACUGACGCUGAGACGCGAAAGCGUGGGGAGCAAACAGG
rnacentral:rRNA from 1 species